rnacentral:ncRNA from 1 species
CGGCGCGUCUCACUCCACUAUUUCCCUAUGGCACGCACCGGCAAAUCAAAGGAGGAACAAGUUCCGCUGUGGCUGGCGGUGCGGCAGUGUGGAGACCUGCCGUAAGGCGUACCGGACAUUUUCACCGGGCGCAAGACCGUGCGUGCGGAGGCGGCGCGGUUACAGUCAGAUGCAUUAUGGCA